CCUGACGGUUGGCAUACCACCCUGGAAACACCCGAUCUCGUCUGAUCUCAGAAGCUAAUCAGAGUCAGGUUAGAACUUGUCUGGGAACAUUUGUGCUAUUAAAGAACACUUCAGGG
rnacentral:rRNA from 1 species